CCUACGGGAGGCAGCAGUGGGGAAUUUUGGACAAUGGGCGAAAGCCUGAUCCAGCAAUGCCGCGUGAGUGAAGAAGGCCUUCGGGUUGUAAAGCUCUUUUGUCAGGGAAGAAACGGUGAGAGCUAAUAUCUCUUGCUAAUGACGGUACCUGAAGAAUAAGCACCGGCUAACUACGUGCCAGCAGCCGCGGUAAUACGUAGGGUGCAAGCGUUAAUCGGAAUUACUGGGCGUAAAGCGUGCGCAGGCGGUUUUGUAAGUCUGAUGUGAAAUCCCCGGGCUCAACCUGGGAAUUGCAUUGGAGACUGCAAGGCUAGAAUCUGGCAGAGGGGGGUAGAAUUCCACGUGUAGCAGUGAAAUGCGUAGAUAUGUGGAGGAACACCGAUGGCGAAGGCAGCCCCCUGGGUCAAGAUUGACGCUCAUGCACGAAGACGGUGGGGAGGACGAACGAAGGAGUAGUAUACCGUACGGUAGUACCGACCGACCCGUAACCGAACUAGUCUACUAGUUGUUCGGGUUCGUUAUUAGUACGUU
rnacentral:rRNA from 1 species